GGGCCCGCACAAGCGGUGGAGCAUGUGGUUUAAUUCGAUGAUACGCGAGGAACCUUACCAGGUCUUAAAUGCAUAACGAACGAUUGGGAAACCAAUCUUUCUUCGGACGGAAUGCAAGGUGCUGCAUGGUUGUCGUCAGCUCGUGCCGUGAGGUGUCAGGUUAAGUCCUAUAACGAGCGCAACCCCUAUUCUUAGUUGCCAGCGGUUCGGCCGGGGACUCUAAGAAAACUGCCAGUGCAAGCUGUGAGGAAGGUGGGGAUGACGUCAAAUCAUCACGGCCCCUUGACGAACCCUGGGCCACACACGUGCUACAAUGGGUAGGUACAAAGGGCAGCCACUACGCGAGUAGGAGCG
rnacentral:rRNA from 1 species